rnacentral:rRNA from 1 species
UACGUAGGGUGCAAGCGUUAAUCGGAAUUACUGGGCGUAAAGCGUGCGCAGGCGGUGAUGUAAGACAGAUGUGAAAUCCCCGGGCUCAACCUGGGAACUGCAUUUGUGACUGCAUCGCUGGAGUGCGGCAGAGGGGGAUGGAAUUCCGCGUGUAGCAGUGAAAUGCGUAGAUAUGCGGAGGAACACCGAUGGCGAAGGCAAUCCCCUGGGCCAAGACUGACGCUCAUGCACGAAAGCGUGGGGAGCAAACAGG